rnacentral:rRNA from 1 species
UACGUAGGGUGCAAGCGUUAAUCGGAAUUACUGGGCGUAAAGCGUGCGCAGGCGGUUAUGUAAGACAGAUGUGAAAUGCCCGGGCUUAACCUGGGAACUGCAUUUGUGACUGCAUGGCUAGAGUUUGGCAGAGGGGGGUAGAAUUCCACGUGUAGCAGUGAAAUGCGUAGAUAUGUGGAGGAACACCGAUGGCGAAGGCGGCAUUCUGGACCGAUAUUGACGCUGAGGAGCGAAAGCCAGGGGAGCAAACGGG